rnacentral:lncRNA from 1 species
AUUGUUCUUGCCUCAUAUGUCUCGUCGGAUGCUUCUAUAUAUAGCAAAAUGUCUUAUUGUGCAAAAUUGAUUUCGAAAUUAAAUGUAUAAAUCUGCAAAAACUAUAUGUCUCAUCGCAAUUAAUGUUGAGCCGGCUACUUCCUAUAUUUGUAGAUAUCAUGAUGCCUGACGUAAGCAGACACACCGAACCUGCACUACUGUGCCCCGUAAAAUUCAUGUACUUUCUGACACCUCACGCGACUCAAAUUGCUUAAUCUACACACGCUCGGGUGAGAAUCGACAUUUCACAUGUCUCACGUAACCUUUUACCUAAUUUCCAAAUGUUAUAGCUAGUUACCUAAUUACUUGAUUCUUCGUGUAUAUUGAUCAUAAUUUCUUUAUUAAAAAACGGAGGGAGUAUGAAAUAAAAGCAAGAGAACAAGGAAAGCUACACGGCGAUUAAUAAUAUUAAUAUUUUCUGAAAAUGUGCGUCAUACAUUAUCUCAUCUUCAAUACCCAAAUUCAUGGAAUAAAUUCAGUAGAGAUGGAGAGAGAAGAUAGGAUAUUUGAGUUAUGGUGGCCACGUGUCUUUCUAUCUAACCAUGCAACGACGUCGUUUAGGGAACAAAAUGAGUCCCGAUCCUCCCACCAUCGAUGACCAUUCUCAU